rnacentral:tRNA from 3 species
GCAGACGUAGCUCAGUAGGUUAGAGCGCCUGAUUGUGGAUCAGGAGGUCCCCCGUUCAAAUCGGGGCGUCUGUACCA